AUACGUAGGGUGCGAGCGUUGUCCGGAAUUACUGGGCGUAAAGAGCUCGUAGGUGGUUUGUCGCGUCGUCUGUGAAAUUCCGGGGCUUAACCCCGGGCGUGCAGGCGAUACGGGCAUAACUUGAGUACUGUAGGGGAGACUGGAAUUCCUGGUGUAGCGGUGAAAUGCGCAGAUAUCAGGAGGAACACCGGUGGCGAAGGCGGGUCUCUGGGCAGUAACUGACGCUGAGGAGCGAAAGCAUGGGUAGCGAACAGGAUUAGAUACCCUGGUAGUCCAUGCCGUAAACGGUGGGCGCUAGGUGUAGGGGUCUUCCACGACUUCUGUGCCGUAGCUAACGCAUUAAGCGCCCCGCCUGGGGAGUACGGCCGCAAGGCUAAAACUCAAAGGAAUUGACGGGG
rnacentral:rRNA from 1 species